UCGAGGAUCUUCGUCAAUGGGCGCAAGCCUGAACGAGCGACGCCGCGUGCGCGAUGAAGGCCUUCGGGUUGUAAAGCGCGAAAGUGGGGAUAAAGCCGCAAGGUUGAUAGAUCCACAGUAAGGACGGGCUAAGUUCGUGCCAGCAGCCGCGGUAAGACGAACUGUCCUAACGUUGUUCGGAAUCACUGGGCUUAAAGGGCGCGUAGGCGGUCGACCAAGUCAGGGGUGAAAUCCUGCAGCUUAACUGCAGAAGUGCCUUUGAUACUGGUUGUCUCGAGGGAGGUAGGGGUGUGUGGAACUCACAGUGGAGCGGUGAAAUGCGUUGAUAUUGUGAGGAACGCCGGAGGCGAAAGCGACGCACUGGACCUCUUCUGACGCUGAGGCGCGAAAGCUAGGGGAGCAAACG
rnacentral:rRNA from 1 species